UUCUAUUUACAUAAAUAGUAAAAUCUGCUCAAUGUGAUAUAAAUAGCCGCAAUCAUUUGUGCUAAGGUAGCAUAAUAAUUAGUUUUUUAAUUGAAAACCAGAACAAAAGAUUUAAUAUUUCAAUUUAUUUAUUUAAUUUUUAUAUUAAAUUUUUUAAUAAGUUAAAAAACUUAUAUAUUAAUAGAAAGACGACAAGACCCUUAUGAACUUAACUAUUGUUAAACUGGGGCAGUUGAAUAAUAAAUAUUUUAUUUUAAUUUUAUAAAAGACCUAAUAUAAUUAAUUAUAUAUUCAAGUUACCAAAGGGAUAACAGCGUAAUUUUUAUUAAAAGUUCUUAUUUAAAUAAAAGAUUGCGACCUCGAUGUUGAAUAAUAUACUAUAAUAUUAUGCAACCAUAAUAUAAGUAAGUCUGUUCGACCUUUAAAAAAUUACA
rnacentral:rRNA from 1 species